CAAGAAGAGCCUUGGCUUUAAUACAACUCAACACAGAGGCAUUACGGCACACCUGAACCCUUUUCCUGAAAACAUGAGCACGGAAAGGCAGGAAAACAUUAUUUUAGGUCUGAAAUCUCCCUAUGAGAACAUGUCACCUGCAGAGCACAGGUACUUCUUUGGGCCUUCAGAUAAACUGCGCUCAGUUAAUAAACACUUAAGAAAAAGUAAAUCCAAGGAAGAAACUCUAGACUUUAAAGAUAUCCCCAUGGAAAAUUAAAGUAAAAAAAAAGAAAAGCCUUCUACACUCUCAACAGAGACAUCCACUGAGGACAAAGACAACAGUCUAAUGAUGAGGAUCAACACAGUUUAUAUACGUUCUGAGUUAUAUCACAAAUGAAUUAGCAAUACUUGUAAAUAAACAGUGUAUGGUGUAAAGCUGUACAGUAAUACCUCAGUACUCGUCGGCUGCGGCCCCAAAGUGGUUAAAAGUGCUACAACCUACUCGUCAGUUUCAGCACCGUCACGGAACGAAUUACCGACGAGUACUGAGGUAUUACUGAAUUGGCUUUCAAAUAAAAAUGCCUAUAUUGUUAUAUUAUUUACAAUACUUAAAUGAAAUUGUGUUUGUACUGAAAUACAUUGUAUUUCAUUUGUAUUUCACAAGUUUAUUUGUUUUAAAGGUUUGUUAUUGACACCUAAAUUGAUAUUGCUGAUGAGUGGUUUGCAUAUUGAUAUUCAGAAUUUUACUACAUGUAUUAUAUCUACCUGUCUGCAUUCUGUAUAUAAAAUUAAUUGAAUUACUGCUCAAUCAAAGCACACAUUUAACAAUAAAAAACUUAGUUCCACCACGAGAUGGCAGCAUUGACACGCUGUAGAGUCCACCAUGUAUUCAAAAGUAAUUAAAUCUGUUCUGGUUCCUGAAUCAGGUAAGCAUGUGACACUGUGUUGCCUAAGGCUUACCUGUAUACUGAAUAAUGUCUGGCUCUUUUAAAGGGUACAUUAAAAUGCACUUUCAUUACCAACACUGUGAUGUGAUCGUUAUUGUAAACAACCAAUAGUGAGAGUGGUGUUGCUUUUCACGCUCUUUCAAAUCUAACUGGCAGAACAAUUUAUCUGUAAAUAAGCUGAUGAAUACAAUUAAACACAUUAAAGCAAAGGAAA